rnacentral:ncRNA from 2 species
AACUUAUCAAGAGUGGCAGAGGGACUGGCCCUGUGAAGCCCGGCAACCGACACGACAUACUGUGUCAUGGUGCUAAAUCCAGCAGCUUUAAUCGGCUGAAAGAUGAGUA